rnacentral:rRNA from 1 species
UACGUAGGUGGCAAGCGUUGUCCGGAAUUAUUGGGCGUAAAGCGCGCGCAGGUGGUUCUUUAAGUCUGAUGUGAAAGCCCACGGCUCAACCGUGGAGGGUCAUUGGAAACUGGGGAACUUGAGUGCAGAAGAGGAAAGUGGAAUUCCAAGUGUAGCGGUGAAAUGCGUAGAGAUUUGGAGGAACACCAGUGGCGAAGGCGACUUUCUGGUCUGUAACUGACACUGAGGCGCGAAAGCGUGGGGAGCAAACGGG